UUAUAACAGCUUAUAAUUGGAUAAAUUAUAAGUUGAUAUGGAUGACAUUUCUGCAAGAUAAAUUAAGUGCGAGAGAGCUGCUGCCUGGCUUUUUCCCCAACUAGAGGGGGACUUUAAUUAUGCCACUAGAGGCUACUAGUGGACUUUACCUUGUAUCAUCUUAGGUUAUUUAAAUUAAAUAACUUAAUAAAUGAAAUAAAGUUGGACAAUACAAAAUAUGCUCAUUUAUAAGAUCGAAAGAUUGGAAAAUAGAACUGUUCUUUAGUAUGCAGGUGAUAGCACUGAGAUCGACUAUAACAAUGAAACUUCGACCGUUUGGCUUUUACCAGCUUGUUUUAUUUAGUGCGUGCACAAGUGAUCAUUUCGUACAUCUUUCAGCAAAAAAAAAAUGUGAAAGGCUUAUGGAAAGUUCGAGCUAUUAAAUUUUGAAAGUUAACCAAAUAACAAUACGAAGAAAAAGAUAGUCUCCUGGCUGAGCAGGGGCCCCUAAAGAUCAGUGUACCAGUGAGUACCAUUUUGACAUACUCAUGUUGUGGAUAUGUUUAAUAUAUAUUUUGUUUACAUAUUAUACCUACUUAAAUAAAUUAUUAUUUAAU